CACUUGCACAAGCAAUUAAGCUUGCAAAAGGCUUCUUGAUACUUUCUUACAAUCUUCCAAUAAUUUUUGAGCACGGCAAGCAUUAAGCAAAGUUACUGGCAAGUCAUCAUAUUGCUGAGAUGUGCAAUAAUUACGACCAUUUAGUUCCGUUCUCAAUAUUUCUAAACAUUCAUAAACAGACUUUUCUACAACUCAUUGAUUUAUAUUUUAUCUAAUCUUAUAAUUUCUUCUUUUGUAUUUCUAAUGCUAUUAUCACAAAAAAUUACGUAUUGUAUUUAUACAAUACCAUACUUAUAUCUAC